UCAAUUAGUGAUCAAGGAGAAAAG
rnacentral:piRNA from 1 species